rnacentral:misc_RNA from 1 species
UCCAUCGUCCACCUGCGAUAGAACACACACACACACACACAAACAGAACAUAUUUCUUGUUUGGACAUUCGUUUUUUUGGCUCGAAAAGGGCCGUUGUCGUCGUCGUCGCUUCCUUUUCUGUACUGCUUUGCACUUCUCCCCCUCCCCCGCCACCGUGCCUGUACGUGUACGUGUGCGUGUGCGUGUGCGUGUGCGUGUGCGUGUGCGUGUGCGUGUGCGUGUGCGUGUGCGUGUGCGUGUGCGUGUGCGUGUGCGUGUGCGUGUGCGUGUGCGUGCGUCUCCCACGCUCACCCCACUUCGUGCCUGUUCAGCCGUUCUUCUUUCCUAUUUCUUAUUCUGUCUGUUCGUUUGCAUGUGCGUGCGUGCGUGUGACGUUCAUUGAGAGAAGCGUUUUAUCAGCCCUUCCCUCAGCAGAGCCCUCCCAUCUGCCCACACACCGGGAGCCUCGUCUGCCUUGCGCCCCAUCUCUCCCUCGCUUCCUCUCUUCAUUCUCCAUUUCCGUUUUUGCUCGCUCCACGAUUCGAGACUCGACUCACGACAAGGAAGUGCAGGAGGGCAGCCACGUUCAGGCAAGCAAGGGCAUCAUCUACACUCACACACGCACAUCGAUAUAUAUAUAUAUAUAUACUUUUAAGUGAUAGACGAGCAGGUCAACGAAGGGAAAGACAACAGAAAAGUGCGAGAGGCGCAGAACGGCGUGGCUGUGAGAAGGACAGACAGAGAGAGAUCACACAUCACCACACAAAACACCGAUCGAAGGCUGAGAGGCGACGUGGUUGGCAUCGACACAUCGCAGCCGUUUUGUUUUUGUUGUUGUUUUGUGUUCCUAACUCUCUCUCACUCUCUUUUACUUUCCUCGAGGCAUACACAACUGCAUCACGCAUAAACACGCGAGCAUCCCAACGGCAAGUGGUCGUUGCGUCUGUGCACCACGCCACACAACGAGGGCUUCGGCGCAGAGCAUCGCCAUCGGGAGCGGAAGCGAGGGAAAAGGCACACAGUGAAACGGUUAAGGUGCUCUUGUGUUUGCUUCCACCCUGCCUGAUCGUUGUCGUGUCUCAGUUCAGGUGACGCUCCUCUUCCUCCUGGGUACUUGUGUGUGCAUGCGUGUCCCUGCAGUCUGUGCAGACGCGAUAGCAGACAUUGUUCAUUGUGUUAUUCGACACAAGCAACCUCAUUAUCCCUGUCUGCGCUGCCCGUCUCCACUGCCACCACCACCACCACCCACCCCAUCGCCUCUAAGCUGUAUCACCCGCCAAGAGAAGGCGGUAGUAAAUAAGAAGGCCUCCUCCUCUCCCCCCCCUCCUUUGGUCGUCACACGAAGAGCGAGCGUGCGAGACAAGGACGCAACUUGUGAGGGCUCCCUCAUCGCCCGUGGCGUAUACACACACAGCAAAGUCCCGAGAAAGAUAAUAGUAGACUUGCACGUUGGCUCGGUUGUCUGUCUGUUUCGGUUCAUCGUCCCGUCUCGUACUUCCCAGCGCCUCUCACCUACGCCUGAAGCGCACAGACACUCGCGUGUCGGUGUUCUUGUGUUUGUGCUUGAGGGGCUGCGGCACGACACGGCCCGACGCUCAUUCUUUGCGCUUGUAUUUCUCUUUGUUGUCUGUCGUUCUUACUCUCUCUCUCUCUCUGCUGGAGGCUUUCGCUUCUCUCGCUCGUUCUCGCUCUCUCGCCGCGUGCGUGCUUGUCUCGGUGUGUCGGUGUGUGGCCAUUAGAGGCUCCACUAGUUGAGUUUCUUUGUGGGGUGUGUCGUGUGUUCUUCGCGUUGUCUUCUUUUUUUCUUGCGGCGUCUCUCCCGCUCCCGUUAUUUCCUUCGUUCUCGUCCGUUGACCGUUGUUGUUGCCGCUGCUGCUGCUGCUUGUUGUUGUUUCUUACAGACGCUCGCCCGCCUCCUCACUUCUUCUCCCUCCAUCACUUCUUCAUCGUCAUCUGCACUUCUCUUCUUUCUUUUUCGUGUUUCGGACCCGCCAUCCGCCCCACACCGUCGCCACCCCCCUCCUCCUCCUCCUCCUCCUCCUCUUUCUCGUUCCCUCUCUCCCACUUUCCCAUUCCGCGUACGUUGGCCUUCGCGGCGGGGUGCACUGGAGAGUACGCGAACGGUGUGACAGUGCGUAGGUGAUUUGGCCUCUUUUGUUUGUGUUUGUGUGUGCGCGUGCGUGUGUGUGUGUGUGUGUGUGUGUCUCCCUGCGUUGUUGGUUUGCCUUGUUUCUUUCGCUUCCCCACCACCAUCAUCCCCCUUCCCUUCCUUUGUACCCUCGUGAACCGCUCACACGCGCAAGCAAGCACUCCCCCACCUCCUCCCUUCUUGUACCCUCACAUCUCCCUCCCCCCCUCUCCCCCUCCCUCCCUGUGUUGGUGUGCGUGUGCGUGUCUGUUGUUGUUGUUUUCAGUUCUCUGCUGCUGCGGCUUACCUUCGUGUGGUCAAGUCCCUCUUUUCACGUCAUUCCCUCUUCCCGUGCUCGUCUUGCCACAUCCGACCUCGCGUGUUUGUGGGGUGCGCGUAGUCCGUGUACGCGUCUGUCGGGGGUACUUUGAGUCCCCACCAUUCCCUGUCUUUCUCCCCUCCCCCCUCUCUCGCCGACUAUCCCACGAGUAGUCCCUUUCUGUGUUAGGUUGUGUGCAGGGCGUCAGUUUGUGUGUUGAUUGCAUCGCUGGUGUCGUUGCUGGCCUUGUUACUGUCGUUGUGUUGCGUUGGGCGUGUCUCUCCUCCCUCCCUCCCUCCCUCCCCCCCAUCCCCCCUCCCACUUCAGUUUUUCAUCCCCAAAGCAGACUGCAUAACGAAACGCGGAGACGCACGCAAGCUCCAUCAUCAGACACAUUCUUAAGAGAGCGCGCGCGCUCGCUGGACAAGGCACGCGCGUGCCUUUCACGUACGCUUCAAGUAUCGGACUCGCCACCGCCGCCGCCUUCCUCUUUUUGGUGGUUUGGGGUGCUUGCAUAAUCAUCGAAAGAGAAUUGGAGGAGGAGAUCAAAGACCUGACGACGGCCGACAAGCACGAAGGGUACGGUGUGAUCGAGGUGCAGGACGGCUCAAGGCCGCCGUCUCUUCGUUCCACUUGCCACGCCCUCUCUCUCUCUCUUCACGUACCCCCUCCUCCUACGACCUUCCGUCUCGCCAUCUCUAACCGCUGCACAG